GGUCCUGUGACCGAGUGGCUAGGUAGAGCUCUGCAAAAGCUUCCACAGCGGUUCGAAUCCGCUCGGGACCUC
rnacentral:tRNA from 1 species